AAAGGAGAGGCAGUUCCCCUGCGAGCCAGGUAUCGGCUCCCAACGCAUCGCUCCACACCUUCCUGGCUAAGGCAGAAAACCGGUUUCCGGCCCUGUCCUCCUGGAACGUCCAUGGGGAUUCUGUGUCCAAGAAGCACAUGAGGGUAACCCUAGGUCCUGGGAGGCCUACCCCACAGAAAUGACCCAACCCUGGAGUCUGUAGGGCAGGCCACAGAAACCUUAUCACCUCUAAGGAGAGCUGCCUUCUUCUAGAAGAUGUGCUUCUCCUCCUCUCCCAUCUCCAGCUCCCUCCUACCUCUCCAGUUACCUCGAAUGAACAGCAGAUGGAUUCAUCCCCAAAUCCCUGAUCACCAGGGCAGAACUGGGCACACAUCCCCAAUCUAGAAGAGAUUGGGUGGAUGGGUGGAUAUUGAAACCUACCAACUUGACCUGCAUAUGGAAUUCUUCAAUCCUGUGGUUCUCAAUUUUGGCUACAUUUUAGAAUCAUCUAGAGAACUUUUCAAAAUGCCUGAUGUUCUGGGUUUCACUCCCAGAAAUUGCAGUUUGUUGUGUUAAAAAACAAAAAUUCAACUGAGUAUAUUUGAA